rnacentral:rRNA from 1 species
AUAAUGCAGUCGANGAGUUCUGAUUAUUGAAAGGUGCUUGCAUCUUGAUUUAAUUUUGAACGAGUGGCGGACGGGUGAGUAACACGUGGGUAACCUGCCCUUAAGUGGGGGAUAACAUUUGGAAACAGAUGCUAAUACCGCAUAAAUCCAAGAACCGCAUGGUUCUUGGCUGAAAGAUGGCGUAAGCUAUCGCUUUUGGAUGGACCCGCGGCGUAUUAGCUAGUUGGUGAGGUAACGGCUCACCAAGGCAAUGAUACGUAGCCGAACUGAGAGGUUGAUCGGCCACAUUGGGACUGAGACACGGCCCAAACUCCUACGGGAGGCAGCAGUAGGGAAUCUUCCACAAUGGACGCAAGUCUGAUGGAGCAACGCCGCGUGAGUGAAGAAGGCUUUCGGGUCGUAAAACUCUGUUGUUGGAGAAGAAUGGUCGGCAGAGUAACUGUUGUCGGCGUGACGGUAUCCAACCAGAAAGCCACGGCUAACUACGUGCCAGC